rnacentral:rRNA from 1 species
GACGAACGCUGGCGGCGUGCUUAACACAUGCAAGUCGAACGGAAAGGCCCUGCUUUUGUGGGGUGCUCGAGUGGCGAACGGGUGAGUAACACGUGAGUAACCUGCCCUUGACUUUGGGAUAACUUCAGGAAACUGGGGCUAAUACCGGAUAGGAGUUCCUGCUGCAUGGUGGGGGCUGGAAAGUUUCGGUGGAUUGGGUAGGACUCGCGGCUUAUCAGCUUGUUGGUGAGGUAGUGGAUUACCAUGGCUUUGACGGGUAGCCGGCCUGAGAGGGUGACCGGCCACAGUGGGACUGAGAUGCGGGCCGGACUCAUACGUGAGGAAGCGGUGGAGAAUAGUGCACGAUGGGCGGAGGCCGGAUGCAGCGACGCCGCGUGGGGGAUGACGGCCUUCAGAGUGGAAACCGCUUUCGCCUGGGACGAAGCGUGAGUGACGGUAUUGUGUAAAGAAGCGACGGCUAACUACGUG